CCAUUUAUUUAUAUUAAUUAUAUUAGUUUUUAUUACUGCAAAAUGUUAUUUUUAUAAUUUUCAACAAAAUAAAACUUACUGCCCUGUAUUAUGAUACUGUUAUGCCUUUACGUAGGCAACCCCGCUUUACUCCACCUUCUGUUGUGCGGCCAUUUUUUCCCCAUAUCAAGCCAACUACAUCUGUAAAUUGUCAUCGUAAUAACCAUAUUGUGGCUAGUAGAAACAUCGUAUCGAGACAAAGUAAAUUUUUACUAAUUCUUUAUUUAAUUUUAUUUUAAGGUAAAGAGCCCUUUUUUUGAUUAAGUUCUUUGUUUUUUUUUAAAAAGUGAUCAAAGUGGAAAAUUACACGAAAUAUACUAGACAGUGGGGGAGAGUGGGUUGGCAACACUUGACAGUUCCCGACCUCCAACGCCGUUAAAUAAAAAUAUUAAUAAGAUGAUCAAUUAUAUUAUGAAUUAUACAGAAUUGCAGUUUUUGCAAAUGAAGUAGCUCGUCCUCAUCUUUGCGCAUUUUAAACACAUAGUGGCCGACCUUGACAAAAAGUCAAUAAAUCGUACAGAGGCAGAUCUUGUCCGAUAAUAAUUCAUUGCAGUGAUGGAGCUGGUCGAACUGGCACAUAUUGUUUAAUCGACAUGGUCCUAAAUCGAAUGGCAAAGGGUGCUAAGGAAAUUGAUAU